rnacentral:misc_RNA from 1 species
GGGACAUGAAAACAUGGGAAUGCAAGCAACAGUUCGAAUUUCAUUCAGCUCCAACGCUUGACGUUGACUGGAGAAACAAUGUUUCUUUCGCAACCUGUUCAACAGACAACAUGAUUUACGUCUGCAAGAUAGGCGAGAGUCGGCCAAUCAAGGGUUUCUCAGGACAUCAGGGUGAAGUUAAUGCUAUCAAAUGGGAUCCAACUGGUACAUUGUUGGCGUCAUGCUCUGAUGAUUGGACGGCGAAGAUAUGGAGU